GCGUGGAUGAAGAAGGUCUUAGGAUUGUAAAGUCCUUUCGGCGGGGACGAUGAUGACGGUACCCGCAGAAGAAGCCCCGGCUAACUUCGUGCCAGCAGCCGCGGUAAUACGAAGGGGGCUAGCGUUGCUCGGAAUGACUGGGCGUAAAGGGCGCGUAGGCGGAUUGGACAGUCAGACGUGAAAUUCCUGGGCUUAACCUGGGGGCUGCGUUUGAGACGUUUAGUCUUGAGUGGGGAAGAGGGUCGUGGAAUUCCCAGUGUAGAGGUGAAAUUCGU
rnacentral:rRNA from 1 species